CGGGUGCACUGAUCCAGCCGGGCCUUUCCCUCUGUGGAACUCCAUGGCCUUCACUGGCUGUGGCGGGGAAACAGGACUUUUACUUUGAAAAAAUUAGAGUGCUCCAGGCAGGCCUAUGCUCGAAUACAUUAGCAUGGAAUAAUAGAAUAGGACGUGUGGUUCUAUUCUGUUGGUUUCUAGGACCGCCGUAAUGAUUAAUAGGGACAGUCGGGGGCAUCAGUAUUCAAUUGUCAGAGGUGAAAUUCUUGGAUCUAUUGAAGACUAACUACUGCGAAAGCAUUUGCCAAGGAUGUUUUCAUUGAUAAGGAACGAAAGUUAGGGGAUCGAAGACGAUCAGAUACCGUCGUAGUCUUAACUAUAAACUAUGCCGACUAGGGAUCGGACGAUGUUAUUCUUUGACGCGUUCGGCACCUUUCGAGAAAUCAAAGUGCUUGGGCUCCAGGGGGAGUAUGGUCGCAAGGCUGAAACUUAAAGAAAUUGACGGAAGGGCACCACCAGGGGUGGAACCUGCGGCUUAAUUUGACUCAACACGGGGAAACUCACCAGGUCCAGACACAGUGAGGAUUGACAGAUUGAGAGCUCUUUCUUGAUUCUGUGGGUGGUGGUGCAUGGCCGUUCUUAGUUGGUGGAGUGAUUUGUCUGCUUAAUUGCGAUAACGAACGAGACCUUAACCUGCUAAAUAGCCCGUACUGCUUUGGCAGUUCGCCGGCUUCUUAGAGGGACUAUCGG
rnacentral:rRNA from 1 species